rnacentral:rRNA from 1 species
UACGUAGGGGGCAAGCGUUGUCCGGAAUCAUUGGGCGUAAAGAGCGUGUAGGCGGUCCGGUAAGUCGGCUGUGAAAGUCCAGGGCUCAACCCUGGGAUGCCGGUCGAUACUGCCGGACUAGAGUUCGGAAGAGGCGAGUGGAAUUCCCGGUGUAGAGGUGAAAUGCGCAGAUAUCGGGAGGAACACCUAUGGCGAAGGCAGCUCGCUGGGACGUUACUGACGCUGAGACGCGAAAGCGUGGGGAGCAAACAGG